UUAGGUCUGUGGGUAUCUGUCUGCAAUCUGUCUUUCACAACACCAGGUCGUGGAAGAAAAGUCUGAAGAGUAUUCAGAUGACUCAUAUGAGGUUCGUGUCAAAAACCCACUCACAACAUGAACCCUGAAAAUGGCUUGUAAACCGUUGUUUAAACAGCUGAACUUUGUAAUUAUUGGAUGCGAUCGUGCCGGGAAAAGUGAAGUAUGUAAUGCCAUACUUGGGAAAAAGACAUUUAGUUUUUGGUCUUUACUGAAAAAAAGACAUGAGACGGCUACAAAGGAGGCACGUGGGAGGACAAUAACAGUUACCCGUGGAGCGGGCUGGAAUGAGGGCAACCUUGGCAAAAAGGAUGUAGAAAGAGAGAUGUUGUACUGUGUAAAUAGGUCACACAAAGCUGGACUUCAUGCUGUUGUCUUUGUUGUGGAUGCUAAUAGACCAUACUCAGAUGCAACCACCAUAGCCUUAGAAGAGCUUCUCCCAGAGAAGGUGUGGGAUCAUACCAUCGUGGUUCUUCGUAAUGCAGAAGCUCAUGGUGAGAAGCUUGGCGAUUCUCUCCAGAGCCUUGUUCAGAAAUGUGGAAACCGAUGUUGUGUACUCAACAGGGAAUCCAUAUGUGGCAUCACUGAGUGGCUUGAGGCAAUGAUAGCGGAGAAAAAACAGAUUUACUUUGGAGGAAAUGUUGAUGCGGAAGACGAUAAAAAAAUAAGUCUGAUUGCAAAUCUCAGACACAACAUUAAAUGUCUUCAACAGCAAAAAAAUAAAGAAGAAGAAAAGCAACUUGAGGAAAUGACAUGGCAAGCCAAAAUGGAACUUCAGAAGAGUACAGCACUGAAAGAUGUUGAAAUACAAAACCUUCAAGAGAUCUGCCGAAAACAGGAGGACGAACUGAAAUCAUUGCAGCAAGAAAUAUGCUCAGAUGCUCCGUCAAAAGGAGCGGCGGUAAAAACGUCCGGUCUGGAAAUCACAUGGCCCAGCAAAUUAAUGGAGAUUUUGGAUAACCUAGAUGAAAAAGAAUUCAAGAGACUGAAGUUUUUUCUACACCAAAAAAAAAGAAUACCCAAAUCACUUGACAGAGAUGAUCUUGCUGAUAAAAUGAUACAGGUAUGGGGUACAUCCCAGUGUAUCAUCGAAACAGAGGUACUGCUGAAAGAUUUGCAGCGCCUUGAUUUGGUGCAAAACCUUACGGAAUUUAGGAAAGACUUGAGUGGCACUACCAUUCAACUAGUGGACACCCCCUCAACCGUACCAAGCACAAAAUGAUCCCAUCAUGUUGACAGUGUCAUGAUGCCCUUAACCUAUCCAAGGAAACAGGAAAUUGUCCAAGCAACAACAACACAAAUCUGUAUUUGAGGUCUUUUGUUCUUUGCUUGGAUAUCUGAAAAUGCCCAAAUCUGACUUUGUGAGGACACAUAAAGCUGCAUGAGUGUCAGAUCUUAGGUUCAGUUCUUAGGCUAUACCUGCUCGGACUCCAACCAAAAAGACUUGACUUACUUUAGACUUUAACAUUCAAGGAUACAAUUUUUAGUCAACAGUGUACAGGAACAGAGUGACUUUUGAUAUUUGUAUGUCAUUGUACUGAAACCCAUAUGCUCGGAGGGAGAGCCCUAUAGCUCACAACCCACUGCAAACAAAGUACUGUCUUGAAACCUCUCAGACUUCUAGAAGUAUUCUCCUAAUGCCUCUCUGAAAUGAGUGGGGGAACCCACAGAGAAGUCAGAAGACGUCGAAAAAGUGGGUAACGGAACAGGGGACAUCGAAAAAAGACCAGACUCCUCCGACAAUGAGGAAAAAUGAUGCCUUACUAACUGGCAAAGAAGUCACCGGACCAAGAGAUGAACCGCUCUGUGGAAUUAUUUCUAUCUCUAAAGAUCUCCACAACUAAAAAAAAAGGACAUACACACGGCUACUUUGGAGUUAAAGGGACUAUUGACACAGAAGCCAGACCCUGACUCUACACCCAGAUCCAUUUGGGCGGAGCACAGGGUGAUUUACCUCCACACUCCAGCAGGGACUUUAGAGGGACAGGGAUCCUUUUACUGUAAGAAACUUUCUCUGUAGUUGGUCUGAUGUUCUUAUGUAGGUUUAUGUGUUUGUUUUCAGUUGAUAACGGAAAUCAGUUUUUAUAUCUUUCAGUGUGAAAAAUCAAUGGAUUGUAUUACUUUACAUAAUAUAAUUUAUCUUAAUGUUAAUGGGCU
ensembl:lncRNA